UACGUAGGGUGCGAGCGUUGUCCGGAAUUACUGGGCGUAAAGAGUUCGUAGGCGGUUUGUCGCGUCGUUCGUGAAAACUUGGGGCUUAACUCCAAGCGUGCGGGCGAUACGGGCAGACUUGAGUACUACAGGGGAGACUGGAAUUCCUGGUGUAGCGGUGAAAUGCGCAGAUAUCAGGAGGAACACCGGUGGCGAAGGCGGUUCUCUGGGCAUGUCCUGACGCUGGAGGAGCGAAAGUGUGGGGAGCGAACAGG
rnacentral:rRNA from 1 species